GCAAGUCGAACGCUUGUGUGGUUCAACUGAUUUGAAGAGCUUGCUCAGAUAUGACGAUGGACAUUGCAAAGAGUGGCGAACGGGUGAGUAACACGUGGGAAACCUACCUCUUAGCAGGGGAUAACAUUUGGAAACAGAUGCUAAUACCGUAUAACAAUGACAACCGCAUGGUUGUUAUUUAAAAGAUGGUUCUGCUAUCACUAAGAGAUGGUCCCGCGGUGCAUUAGCUAGUUGGUAAGGUAAUGGCUUACCAAGGCGAUGAUGCAUAGCCGAGUUGAGAGACUGAUCGGCCACAAUGGGACUGAGACACGGCCCAUACUCCUACGGGAGGCAGCAGUAGGGAAUCUUCCACAAUGGGCGAAAGCCUGAUGGAGCAACGCCGCGUGUGUGAUGAAGGGUUUCGGCUCGUAAAACACUGUUGUAAGAGAAGAAUGACAUUGAGAGUAACUGUUCAAUGUGUGACGGUAUCUUACCAGAAAGGAACGGCUAAAUACGUGCCAGCAGCCGCGGUAAUACGUAUGUUCCAAGCGUUAUCCGGAUUUAUUGGGCGUAAAGCGAGCGCAGACGGUUAUUUAAGUCUGAAGUGAAAGCCCUCAGCUCAACUGAGGAAUUGCUUUGGAAACUGGAUGACUUGAGUGCAGUAGAGGAAAGUGGAACUCCAUGUGUAGCGGUGAAAUGCGUAGAUAUAUGGAAGAACACCAGUGGCGAAGGCGGCUUUCUGGACUGUAACUGACGUUGAGGCUCGAAAGUGUGGGUAGCAAACAGGAUUAGAUACCCUGGUAGUCCACACCGUAAACGAUGAGUGCUAGGUGUUUGAGGGUUUCCGCCCUUAAGUGCCGCAGCUAACGCAUUAAGCACUCCGCCUGGGGAGUACGACCGCAAGGUUGAAACUCAAAGGAAUUGACGGGGACCCGCACAAGCGGUGGAGCAUGUGGUUUAAUUCGAAGCAACGCGAAGAACCUUACCAGGUCUUGACAUCCCUUGACAACUCCAGAGAUGGAGCGUUCCCUUCGGGGACAAGGUGACAGGUGGUGCAUGGUUGUCGUCAGCUCGUGUCGUGAGAUGUUGGGUUAAGUCCCGCAACGAGCGCAACCCUUAUUACUAGUUGCCAGCAUUCAGUUGGGCACUCUAGUGAGACUGCCGGUGACAAACCGGAGGAAGGUGGGGAUGACGUCAAAUCAUCAUGCCCCUUAUGACCUGGGCUACACACGUGCUACAAUGGCGUAUACAACGAGUUGCCAACCCGCGAGGGUGAGCUAAUCUCUUAAAGUACGUCUCAGUUCGGAUUGUAGGCUGCAACUCGCCUACAUGAAGUCGGAAUCGCUAGUAAUCGCGGAUCAGCACGCCGCGGUGAAUACGUUCCCGGGUCUUGUACACACCGCCCGUCACACCAUGAGAGUUUGUAACACCCAAAGCCGGAGGGUAACCUUCUGGAGUCAGCUC
rnacentral:rRNA from 1 species